GUGCGUGUGAGCCUUCCUUCCCAAGAUGGCGCAGGCUGCCUAGCAACUGCGCUCCCAUUGGUCGACAUUCCGGCCGCUCCUGACCAAUGGCGAGCGAGCUGCGAUGCGGAAGUGAAUGGCAGCAAAUGGCACAAGAAUGGGGAAGGCGGGGAGAAGAGGCGGCUGCUUUCGUGUGUGUGGGAAAGUUUUGGCGACGAGGACGACGUGUAAAGCGUGAAAAAGGCAUUCCUGGAAAUUGCAAUUACAUCUUUUUUGUGAAAACAGGACGACCCCAACUGAGAUAGUGACUAUAGCAAAAAGAGCAUUAUCUGGAGGGAUCACUGGACUUCUAUAGAACACUCCGGGAUGUGCCGUGAACAUUUUGUCUCUGAGCCGACAUCUGAGAUGGCGGGCGACGACCAGCUGAGCCACAAAGAGACGAGUGACGUCCGCCUUUUGGAAGGCUGAUUUGACCGACAUUUACCAAUUACAGGACUGCAGGAAUAAGGAAGAAAAGCUCUGACUCUAGGGGAGAAGUCGUUUGACGUCAGGAGAGCCAGGCUCUGCUGUUUGUUGGAACAUCUGCAUGUGGGGUUCCUUUUUUUACCUGAGCUUGCGUGAGUCUUCCCCCCUCCAUCCCAAAAAGUAUGCAUUACUUGAUGGUCUUGACUUGUCCUUCACGCCGAGCCUCCACGGCCACCACCAGACCGCCAGAGUCCAGAAUGCUGUAGUGAUGAGGACCCCUUAAAGUCCCCCGCCAGCUGUAGCCCCCGUCUGACGACACAAACACAUCCGGGUGCUGCGAGGACGACAGGCAAUCCCCCACGGUACCUAAUAAAGACAAGCGUUGAGUUAAAACCGACGUAAAAGACGGUCGAGGGCGAUAUAAGUCGCGGUUACCAUGGGCGAUGACCAGACCGAUAGCGGUGGGCUCCGACAUGAGGAGCAUGGGAACGAUGUGAUUGAUGCGACUGUGUUCUCCGUGAAUAUGCAGCUUGCACUGCAUGGUAAAAACAUUGGAAUGACAGAAUACAAACCAAAGUUAAAGCACUCAUGUCCACUGCAGAGGAUGCUGGUUUUCGGGACGCUGUUCACAAAAUAGCUCACGUUCUUGACUUCUUGCCCACAUUCGACAUUCUGAGGUUUGGAAAGCUGCUGCCAUGUUCCGCCGCGAUUGAAGGAGAUGACCGAUCGUAUUCGUCCGUCUGAAUAAGAUAGUAGAAAGGUACAGCCCUCACGUUUCAACAAGCAUUUCAUCAUAUACUAUGGAGAGACAAUACUGCGUAUACUUUGGAGUAGUCAGUGUCCAGCUUGUCUAGUGCAGUGGUUCUCAACCUUUUUUCAGUGAUGUACCCCCUGUGAAAAUUUUUUUAAUUCAAGUACCCCCUAAUCAGAGCAAAGCAUUUUUGGUUGAAAAAAAAAAGCGAUAAAGAAGUAAAAUACAGCACUAUGUCAUCGGUUUCUGAUUUAUUAAAUUGUAUAACAGUGCAACAUUUUGCUCAUUUGUAUUGGUCUUUCUUGAAAUAGUUGGAAAAAAAGAUAUAAGUAUAACUAAAACUUGUCGAAAAAUAAAAAAGUGAUUCAAUUAUAAAUAAAGAUUUCUACACAUAGAAGUAAUCAUCAACUUAAAGUGCCCUCUUUGGGGAUUGUAAUAGAGAUCCAUCUG